AUUGAACGCUGGCGGCAGGCCUAACACAUGCAAGUCGAGCGGAUGAAGGGAGCUUGCUCCUGGAUUCAGCGGCGGACGGGUGAGUAAUGCCUAGGAAUCUGCCUGGUAGUGGGGGAUAACGUCCGGAAACGGGCGCUAAUACCGCAUACGUCCUGAGGUAGAAAGUGGGGGAUCUUCGGACCUCCCGCUAUCAGAUGAGCCUAGGUCGGAUUCGCUAGUUGGUGGGUUAAAGGCCUACCAAGGGGACGCACCGUCACUGGUCUGAGAGGAUGAUCAGUCACACUGGAACUGAGACACGGUCCAGACUCCUACGGGAGGCAGCAGUGGGGAAUAUUGGACAAUGGGCGAAAGCCUGAUCCAGCCAUGCCGCGUGUGUGAAGAAGGUCUUCGGAUUGUAAAGCACUUUAAGUUGGGAGGAAGGGCAGUAAGUUAAUACCUUGCUGUUUUGACGUUACCAACAGAAUAAGCACCGGCUAACUUCGUG
rnacentral:rRNA from 1 species